AGGAAAUGAGGUAGCAAUAAGCAGAUUGUCUCCGUCUCUUUGGACCAGAGUUAAUGUGUUGAGGGAACGCCACCAAAAAUAGGCAGCAGAGCAGCUUUGCCGUGAAAUGGACAACACUACUGACAGUUAUCAAUCAGUUGGUGGACCGUCUUGCAACAAAGAUGUACAAGUUGCACGAAUGGUACAUGAAGGCUUCAGCCAACGGUUUUGCCAUGAUGGAAGUUCGGAUUGGUGAUCAGCAUUUUUUCCAUGGGGAAGCCAUCAUAAAUGUGAUGCUGGAGGAACUGUAUUUCCUAUUCAAUCAAGACGCACUUGACAAGACACUCAUCAGUUGCUGGGUUCUGAUGGAGAUUCAAAUUUGUCGGAGGAAAGGAUACUAUCACGUAGGCUUCAUGGAUCCCGAUGUUGUAAACAAGGCAACUCUAAGAGAUAAACCAAAUCGGACAUUGAAGAAUAUAUAUAAUUUCAUCGACAAGCAACAUUACAAGAAGUACAUACUAUUACCAUACAACUUCAACUUCCAUUGGAUCCUCAUUGUUGUUGUGCCUGAUAUGAGCUUGGCAUAUGUCUUCGACUCUUUGAGGAAAUCCAAAAAAGAAUACAAUGACAUCAUAGAUGCUAUGAACAAAGCAUGAGCUUGAUUCCGUCGAAAUCACGUGGGUGAAUUCAAGGAGGAACUUCAUUGGAAGACUGAUUUCCUGUGUUGGAGACAGGAGCCGGGUACUAAUUUAUGCAGAUACUUGUAUGUGAGUUCGUCCACGACUUUGUAGGUCCGCUGCAUACGACCGACCACGACUUAACCAUGAUGUACAUGAAGAAAAGAGUCCGCGACACGGAUGUUUUCAGAGCAAUACAAGAACAACUUUGAGAAUUUCUUCUGGAUGAGGUCAUAAAUCCAGUGGGGGAGUUUUAUAAUGAUGGAUCAAAUCUACAUCACCGUCAGGUUUCCGGCUUAGAAUAGUAGAUACGAAAUGUUGAACUUGGAAA